rnacentral:rRNA from 1 species
ACAUGUCUUUUUGGUUAUUUAAUAGAAAGUCUGACCUGCCCACUGAAUAUAAUUUUAAAGGGCCGCAGUAUUUUGACUGUGCAAAGGUAGCAUAAUCAUUAGUCUUUUAAUUGAAGGCUGGUAUGAAUGGUUGGAUGAGAUACAAGCUGUGUCAUAAAAAUUAAUAUUUGAAUUUACCUUUUUAGUCAAAAGGCUAAAAUUUUAUUAAAAGACGAGAAGACCCUAUAGAGCUUUAUAUAGUUAAUAUUUAAAUUAUUAAUAUUUUUUAAAUUUAAUUAUUUUAUUAUAUUUUGUUGGGGUGACAAUAAAAUUUAUAAAACUUUUAUUAUUAUUAUUCAUUAAUUUAUGUUUAAAUGAUCCAAUUUUAUUGAUUAUAAAUUUAAGUUACCUUAGGGAUAACAGCGUAAUUUUUUUUGAGAGUUCUUAUCGACAAAAAAGAUUGCGACCUCGAUGUUGGAUUAAGAGUAAUUUUGGGUGUAGAAGUUCAAAGUUUAAGUCUGUUCGACUUUUAAAUU